rnacentral:hammerhead_ribozyme from 1 species
GCACUGCCGAGGAGUCCCACAAUAGGACGAAACGUCCGUUCAGUGC